rnacentral:rRNA from 1 species
UAGAAUCACUGGUGAAUAAGGGGUGGGCAAGUUCUGGUGUCAGCCGCCGCGGUAAAACCAGCACCUCGAGUGGUCAGGAGGUUUAUUGGGCCUAAAGCAUCCGUAGCCGGUUGCAUAAGUUUUCGGUUAAAUCUAUGNGNUUAACGUAUAGGCCGCCGAAAAUACUGUGCAGCUAGGGAGUGGGANNGGUACACGGUACUCGAUAGGAAGGGGUAAAAUCCUUUGAUCUAUUGAUGACCACCUGUGGCGAAGGCGGUGUACCAGNNNNNGUUCGACGGUGAGGGAUGAAAGCUGGGGGAGCAAACCGGAUUAGAUACCCGGGUAGUCCCAGCUGUAAACGAUGCAGACUCGGUGAUGCAUUGGCUUGUGGCCAAUGCAGUGCCGCAGGGAAGCCGUUAAGUCUGCUGCCUGGGAAGUACGU